rnacentral:rRNA from 1 species
GACGAACGCUGGCGGCGUGCUUAACACAUGCAAGUCGAACGGAAAGGCCCCGCUUGCAGGGUGCUCGAGUGGCGAACGGGUGAGUAACACGUGGGUGAUCUGCCCCUUACUUUGGGAUAAGCCUGGGAAACUGGGUCUAAUACUGGAUAGGACCAUGCUGUAGGUGGUGUGGUGGAAAGAUUAGUUUCGGUAAGGGAUGAGCUCGCGGCCUAUCAGCUUGUUGGUGGGGUAAUGGCCUACCAAGGCGUCGACGGGUAGCCGGCCUGAGAGGGUGGACGGCCACAUUGGGACUGAGAUACGGCCCAGACUCCUACGGGAGGCAGCAGUGGGGAAUAUUGCACAAUGGGCGCAAGCCUGAUGCAGCGACGCCGCGUGGGGGAUGACGGCCUUCGGGUUGUAAACUCCUUUCAGCCAUGACGAAGCCCUUGUGGUGACGGUAGUGGUAGAAGAAGCACCGGCUAACUACGUG